UACGUAGGGUGCAAGCGUUGUCCGGAAUUAUUGGGCGUAAAGAGCUCGUAGGCGGUCUGUCGCGUCUGCUGUGAAAACUCGGGGCUUAACCCCGGGCCUGCAGUGGGUACGGGCAGACUAGAGUGCGGUAGGGGAGACUGGAAUUCCUGGUGUAGCGGUGAAAUGCGCAGAUAUCAGGAGGAACACCAGUGGCGAAGGCGGCUCACUGGCCCGAUACUGACGCUGAGGCACGAAAGCGUGGGGAGCGAACAGG
rnacentral:rRNA from 1 species